ACAGCAGUCGCCGCGGUAAUACGGAGGGUGCAAGCGUUAUCCGGAUUUAUUGGGUUUAAAGGGUCCGUAGGCGGAUCUGUAAGUCAGUGGUGAAAUCUCACAGCUUAACUGUGAAACUGCCAUUGAUACUGCAGGUCUUGAGUAAAUUUGAAGUGGCUGGAAUAAGUAGUGUAGCGGUGAAAUGCAUAGAUAUUACUUAGAACACCAAUUGCGAAGGCAGGUCACUAAGAUUUAACUGACGCUGAUGGACGAAAGCGUGGGGAGCGAACAGGAUUAGAUACCCCUGUAGUCCCUGUCUCUUAUAA
rnacentral:rRNA from 1 species